AUGAAAUGUAUUUUUAAUUGAAAAACUUGAAAUAUAUAUUUUUUUUUUCUUGAAGGAAAUAAUUCUGUGGCUUUCUGCUUUAAUCAAUGCCUGCAAGGGAAAUGCCACAGGAAUUUUGUCUCUUAUCUGUAGUGCUCAUUGUUUCUUCCAUGUUCUUCCAUCAGUGGGGUGAGAGAUCUAGUCUGUAUUUCAGCAGCAUGGUUAGCCUCCAAACAUGUUGCAGGGUUACUGAACGCUACACGUAAGAAUAUCCAGGUCAAGUUGUAACCCUUAGGAAGAAAAGGGUAACAGAGCCCAGAUCUGUAGAUUGAUCUUCAUGUUGUUGCUGGUCUGGAAAGAACAAGUAAGAUCUAAGAGCUCAGGGAAUAUAUCUAAUCUACUUCUUAGAUUAAUAGUAGAGGAAUAAACUUCACUUUUGCUGUUCUGAAAGCACUUUUCCCAAUCAUUGCAAAACCCAGUGCAGCCUCUCAAAGCAGAAAUGUUUAAACAGUCUGAAAGAAAGAGAACUCAAACUUGCAUAUGCAACAUCAUCUCCCAGUGAUUCUUGCCAUAAUCAUCCUGAAUAUACAAAUGGAUGUUUGUGUUGCUAGAAACACUGUGAUCUGGUGUAUGAGGUUAUGUGCAAGCACAACAAAUCUGCUUUUUCUGGCCAGUGUUGGUGAAUGGUGCACAAAGAAGUCACUUUAAAUGACUAAAAUGGGUAAGGACUUUGCCAAAGUAUCUACCAUCCUAGAAACUUUUGAAGGCUAUUUCCUUAAAAAUUUGAGAAGCUUGGUGACUUAUGGAAUGAUAUUGAGUCUUAAGAUAAAGCACAGAUUAAAGCAUAUCCAAAGGAUGAUAUUAACUUCAUGAAGGCAAAAAUGAAUAGUAGUAAAAAGCCCUCAAACACUGAUCCUCACAUGAUUGCUUUUAUUAUGUGAGGCUUGUUACAGUUUUCGUUGGAAAACGUUGAUUGUUAUGAAAAGAGAUGUCCACUAGAUGUCAUUCAUGUAAUCUAGUUGUUGUUGCAACAUUUUUAAGAAUCUAUUUAGGAUGGUAGGUACAAAUUAUCAGCAUUAUUAGCUGUUUUUGUAUAUGCUGUGCUACUGAUUUUAUGUAUAAGUUUGGGAUGUUACAAAUAAUGUUUGUAUUGUUUUGCCCAGUGAUGGUUGUGACACUUAUUAGCCUAGAACUCGUCUUCACGUGCAUCUCUCAUGUAAGAGCACUAAGGUGAGCUGUGUAUGGUUUGUAACUGUUCUGCAGGGAGAUAUAAGAUCACAGAGGUGAGGAUGGUGUCUCUAAGGAAAGCAGAAUUUCCCUGUGACUAAUAAAGUCCAUUUUACAUUU